UGAAGGUGGCGGACGGGUGAGUAACGCGUAAAGAACUUGCCUUACAGACUGGGACAACAUUUGGAAACGAAUGCUAAUACCGGAUAUUAUGACUGAGUCGCAUGAUUUGGUUAUGAAAGCUAUAUGCGCUGUGAGAGAGCUUUGCGUCCCAUUAGUUAGUUGGUGAGGUAACGGCUCACCAAGACGAUGAUGGGUAGCCGGCCUGAGAGGGUGAACGGCCACAAGGGGACUGAGACACGGCCCUUACUCCUACGGGAGGCAGCAGUGGGGAAUAUUGGACAAUGGACCAAAAGUCUGAUCCAGCAAUUCUGUGUGCACGAUGAAGUUUUUCGGAAUGUAAAGUGCUUUCAGUUGGGAAGAAGUCAGUGACGGUACCAACAGAAGAAGCGACGGCUAAAUACGUGCCAGCAGCCGCGGUAAUACGUAUGUCGCAAGCGUUAUCCGGAUUUAUUGGGCGUAAAGCGCGUCUAGGCGGUUUAGUAAGUCUGAUGUGAAAAUGCGGGGCUCAACCCCGUAUUGCGUUGGAAACUGCUAAACUAGAGUACUGGAGAGGUAGGCGGAACUACAAGUGUAGAGGUGAAAUUCGUAGAUAUUUGUAGGAAUGCCGAUGGGGAAGCCAGCCUACUGGACAGAUACUGACGCUAAAGCGCGAAAGCGUGGGUAGCAAACAGGAUUAGAUACCCUGGUAGUCCACGCCGUAAACGAUGAUUACUAGGUGGUUGGGGUCGAACCUCAGCGCCCAAGCUACUGCGAUAAGUAAUCCGCCUGGGAGU
rnacentral:rRNA from 1 species